AGAAUAUAUUGCUUUUUUAGACCUCAUAGUGAGAGAGGUUUACAGAUUAAUGUAUGCUUUUCUGUUGUUUCCAGUGCAAGUCUUUCUUGAAGUGCACAGAGACAAAUGAUCAUCAAACAGGCAUGGAGCUUUACUCUGUAACAGAGGAAUGAGAUCUUCACAGCAUCAUUAACAUUCUUUAAAACUGUUUCUUGGAUAUCAGAAAUUCUUGGCGUUGGACCUGUGAAAUACAUUUUUCCUGUAAGAGCUAUGUUUAUGAGCAUCCAAACAUUCUAGAAUGGACAUUCCAGACGGACAUUUUUGGCAUCACAACAGAAAAUAUCAUCAACAUAUGAAGAGGAAGAAGAAAAAGACAUGUAAAGAUACAGUUAAAAGCACGACAUGUACGUUAGAUUAAAAAAAAUAAAUGCACACACACACACACAAAAAAAAGUCAGGAACUGCUAAAUUGGUGGUUGCCUAUGUACUCUUUUACUCUAUGUAAUCUCUCCCAUGUGUCUGUCCCAUGUACUGAAUGAGGCAGGGGUCCUGUGGGAAAACAAGAUGAGAGCAUGUAAUUAAAGACUCUAUCAUAAUGCAUAUGCAUAUAACACUACAUUGCACACACAAUGUGUGGUUCAUUUUCUUUCUCAUCCUGUCCCUGCAGAGAAGAUGAGAGAGAAAAUGAACUACACAUGACAGAUGCUAGCAACAUCAGUUAAUGCAUUUUUAGAAGGCAGUUAGAUACUAAAGUUGUUUAAAAGAUGUUGAAGAUGAAUAGAAUAGAAUAGAAUAGAAUAGAAUAGAAUAGAAUAGAAUAGAAUAGAAUAGAAUAGAAUAGAAUAGAAUAGAAUAGAAUAGAAUAGAAAAUGGAGAGAAGAGGACAGAAGGGGAGGGGAGUGGAGGUGAGGGGAAAAGGUAUGUUGGUUUUCUGGAGUGCUAAAGAAAAAUUUAAUGUAGAAAAAUUAAAUCUUAUGGAUAGUACAUUUUUGAAGAUGAACCUUUUCUAUGAUUAUCCUUUCACUACUUAAAUAAUAUAUAUAUUAAAUUCAUUCUAUAAAAGAUACAUAAACUACAUAUUUACAUGAAACUAUGGGGGAAACUAUGACUAAAGAGAGAGAUAGACAAAAGAAUUUGUGAAACCUAUUAUCCCAUAUUAUAUGAUGCAUUCUCAGGGAAAUUCAUCAGUUUACUACAUAUUGCAAAGCCGCAAAAGACCAGAUAAAAAUACAUUCUCAUUCUGCUCUCGUGUGGUGCCGUUUUGUUUGUUUGUUUGUUUGUUUUUUCCUCCUGUAUUUUUCCACUAUUUCAGUUCUUUGCCAUGUCUUUUACUGUUUGUUCUUCCAGUUAGGAAGUUUUGCAAUUGUCUAUCUCCCACCACCACCACCUUUUCUUUUUUUUUUUUUCUUCAAUUCCCCUGUCCUAUUUUUUCUCUUCUUCAUUUGUAGUAAUUUUAUUUUUGCUGUGAUGUACUUACCAAUAGAUGUACUUCAUGCAGUAUUUCAGACAUUUCCGGAACAGUUGUCACUUGGAUAAUUAUGAAAGUAUAAAGGACAAGAUAAAUAAAUAUACCGGGUAUAUCAGAGUUUGUCCAGUUCUGGGUUAUUUCACAGUAACCAACUGAACAGCAGAAACAUCAGAAUCUACCUACUAUCCCAUAAAUAGUCUUGAAGGAACUCUUACUUUGCCCUAUUGGGAUAGUGAUUCUGCCAUUCUAUGCAGCCUAGUACUUCCAUUGUGAGUUAUGGCUAUAGUGAAAUAAAGCAGUUUCUUCAUGAUUACUCCCUGAGUAGAAACUCUUGCAUUAGAUAUUGUGCUUCUCCAGGUGAUGUGCUUCUCCUUAUGCUUCCAUGAAAACUGGAUUCAUCUGGUCUCAUGCAGAAAUAUAUCCAAAUGACUAAUGAUUUCAUGUGCUUCAUUUUUCUUGUAAAAGUUCAUAAAUGUGCCUAUGCUUAGGAUAUCAUGUUUCUUUAAGUCUUGGAAUACACAAAGUUAAUACAUCAAAAGACCAAGCUUUAGAAAACAAUCUAUUUUCCUUGCAAUAUACAUUUAGUUUUAUUUUUUACUGUGAGUUUAUUUGUACUGGGAGUGUCUGAAAUAUUUUAUACCUGCACCUACAUAUAAAUGUGAUGAAUACAUUCAGAAUAAUCCAACAUAAAUCCAAGUUUAAGAGAGAGCAUAAUCUCAACUUUUUUUGUUUUUGUUUUUGUUUUCAAAUAGUUGAAAUAGUUGCAGUAUUAGGCAAUUCCAGUGAAAAAAUAUUUAGCUGUCAUUGUAAAUAUUACAUUGAUAAAGAAAUCUAUACACUAGUACGGUCUGCAAUUCAUCAAGUGCUUAAGUAUAUAUUCUAUUUAAAUAGCAGUGACGAUCUAAAUAUGGUCAGGAUUCAGGAGCUAGAAGUUAGUCUCACGUGUUUCCAAUGCAUGAGCUAAAGUCCAAUGUAAUGUGAUAAAAAUAUUCCCAUCACCUUUGAUGGACUGUAGAUCAAGCUCAGGCUAACUGAAAAACAUCUUGCAAAUGAAAAACUUCUAGAGGAAGUAAAUUGCUUUCACUAUGGAAUUGGAAUAUUUUUCAGGAUGUCAAAUAGUAGCUACUACAAUAAAUGAUAAAUAAGUAAAGGUAAACUAAUAAAGCAGAGCCCAGGUGCUAAAACAAACAAACAAACAAAAACAAAACAUAGAAACAAGAAAAAGAAAAACAACACAUAAAAUAAAGUAACUUCUUAAGUUCGAUGCAUUCAUUGUGUGACACAGUUGAAAAUUAAUUAAGCUUUUAAUCUUUAACUAGCAUAUAGACUUAAAAGUAAUUAUUUAAAGCCUAAACUUGCAUUAAAUGUUAAAAUAUUUGAUUCCUUUUCACAAUUAUAAUUCUUCUCUAAAUACAGACCUACUUGGCAUACUAGUUGUGUAUUUUAUAGUUUUCAAAUGAAUUUUAAAAGCUUGCCUUUUCAGAGCAAAGAAUCUAACCACCACACCAGGGAAUCCAUGCCUGCCAGCCUCUCCAUAUGUUCCCUACAUUCAUAAGCCCUCUUGCUUAACAAAUGUAAAUACAGUUCUAAACCAAGUUUUCUCUCAAAUGAGCACACAGUAAAGAUCAGUGUCAGUGAAGAGAAAAGAAAGGAAAGACUUUUCCUUAGUCUAUUGCUGUCCAGCUUUGAACAUUGUCUUAUACUUAAAUUUUACAAAAGUGACUGCAUAAGAUUAAGAAGCAGAUGCUACCUAAGGGCAAAAAAAUUGCCACUUAUAUAUAUCUUGCCGCUUGCCACUUAUAUACACCUUACUCUCUGAGUGAACCUUUUAAGUCAAGCAUCUUUUUUGACUUCUGUCUGUCAAGUAAUAUUUUGAUAUCACUGGACAUGUUACAGAAUGAUGAGUGAGUCUAGAACAAAAUAUUACUGAGUGUAGUUCAGUCAUGGGAAUAUGCAUAUAGAGGAGUUGCCAGUGUCUCAGAUACUGGUGAUCAGAUACUCACAGGAGGUUUCCAGUGAAAUCAAAGGCUAUUAAUAUCAGCAGCUCCUUCUCAGGGUUACUCAGGUAAUUCUGAAUUGAUUCUGGGUAAUAAAUUAGCUCUUAUAACAAAUGAUAUAACAUACACAACAGCAUAUAACAUACUCAUAUGUUUCUGAAAUAUUUUAAAUAUUGAUUUGGGAAAUUGCAGAGGAUUAAAACUUAAAACUGUGUCUGGUAAAGAUGUUGAAAUUAAACUUUAGAAUAAUAAAACACCUGGAAGAUCAUCUAACAAGAAUGGCUAAACCAGUAUGUUUUCUAACAACAGAGGAUCAAUCUGUUCACUUUCUUUGAAUGAAGAAGAGAAAAUCAUCUGGUAUAAUAUAUUUAGUCUUUUAAAAAGCAUCUGACAAGGUCUCUUACUAUAAGCUGCUAAAACAAAAUAGUCAUGGGACGAGAUGCAAAUGUUAUGUUAAGAGACCAGGAAAAAGAGAAGCAAAUGACAACUUUAAUCAAGAAAAAUGAUUUUUUGAAUAAUAUAUAUAUUAAUGAACAGAAAACACAGUGAUAGAUGAAAAUCAGCAGUGAUAACAUAAAGAACAUCUAACACAGAAGGGAGACACUUUAAGUGCUCAUACCACUCACAUGCUUCUGAAUUAAUCAUAUCAGCUCAGGAAAUGAACCCCAGCAUCACUGAAAAUGAACCUCAUCACUGAACCAGCAUCACUGAAAUGAACCUCAGCAUCACUGUAAACAACUCAAUGAAGACUUCACUUCAAUGUGCAAUGGUACUCAGCAAGCACAUACUGGAUAUGUGAGAGAAGUGGUAGUGAAUAAUGUGAAAUUGUGUAAAUACCAUUAUAUACACUUUUAUUUAUAAAUUAUGUUUUUUUUUUUUUCUUAUAUCUAAAAUGUUUUUGUGGGUCAAAUGAUUUCUGUGACUUCAGAAAACUUAGAGACAAUUAAGACAACAAAUAGAAUUUGUAAAUGGAAAAUACUUGUAUGAAAGAGUGGUGAGAUUUGGGCUUUUUUAUUUUUGAAAAAAAAAAUGUUUUAAUCAAGUUGUGUAUGGAGAAGACAGUUUGAGGGUCUCUGUUUCACAACAGAUGAAAACAACAUUGUUCAGAAGUGGGAAGAAGCAAUUAAAAAUCUGUUGCUAAAAAUACCCUUCCCAUUUAACACAUAAUCGCACUGUAGAACUCACCGUAAAUAUGUCACCAAGGCCAAAAAAACAGUGAGACUGAAAAUUUGCCUGAAAUUAAAAGGUAUAAACAACUAACAGAUUGGUAUGAGUUAAAAUCUUUGCUCUUCAGCACUUAAUCUAAAUUCUUAACAGUAGUGAUUAGGAUGCAGGAAAUCUGCCCUAUGUCUGAUUAUUGCACAGUAUUAUAUUUACCAGAUGUCAUUCAGGCUGCUCAUGCAGAAAGCUCAAAUUGUGCAGGACACCUGUGGGCUUGCAACCCAGUUGUGAGCUUCAAAUGGCCACUGCUUAGGAGUGGUAGAAAUUAAAAUUUCCUGCUGAAGAUGGAAAAACAUUGUGGAAAAUGAAGGGACUCACUCAUCUUCAGAAGAAGGUACGGGAUGCACUGGUUUUCCUUAUAAUCACAUUCGUGACCUCACAGAUAACAUCACUGUAGAAGAAAUUUAGAGUUUUACACAUCAUUUCAUUUCAAACUGUCAGCUUCAUAAAGCACCCAUAACAGUAUUUGAAGUCUGAAUGUAUACAUGAUGAUGGCCAAGUUUUGUCCUCUUCCCACUAAAAAGAAGGUUGUUUCAGUGAGUUGUUUGACUUCAGAAUUUUCCUUUGGAUGUACAUCAGGAAACAGAUCCAGAGCAGAGGCAAUGUGACCAGUUUGGACUGACUGGCCAUUGCAUAGAACUGAUAUUGAAUGGAACUAGUCAGUGAAUGACAGAGGUAAAUACUGUAAAAUUCACACUGCAGGUAUGGUGGGAGCCAUGCUGCCUCUGUCACAAGAACAGAGCAAAUGGCUUGGCAAGCUCCACCAUGAAAAAAGGCAUUGUCCUCUCCUUGAAAAACAGUUAACAUCAAGGGGCACCUGUAAAGUAUACAGGAGAAGCACUGGCUGUGAUACAAGUCCAGAAAAACAGGAAUUAAAACCUUUAACAUCUCAUGUUGAUAAAAUUUAACCCAGCGAAAAUCUUACUCUAAAUAAAUAUAUUUAUGGCUGAACUGAUUAGGGUCUCAAAAUCUUGAACUGUCAAAUACAUUGAGAAUAUAAGCAGAAAAAUCAUUUCAUUUUUUUUAAUAUGUAAAAAUUUUGCAGUAUUUAGAAAGCCAAAACAUUUGCCCAUGCUCACACAUUUGUUGUAUUUGGAAAUGUUCCUUUUGGUCAUUAGGGCCCUCUGCAAAGCAGUAGUGCAUGGGUGCUCCCUACCCUGCAUUCUGUAUGCUGGGCCACCACCUCCCUUCCUGCUGCAUGCACAUCACAGAGGUUAUAUUAAGAAUACCCAAGCAAAUUCAAGACUAGUCAAAAAUUCUCCAGGGCUACAUUCUGUGGCCAGUUCUCUUCAAUGUUUUGGUAAAUGGUCUAUUUGUAAGACUCAAAUGCAUUCUAAAUUUGCAGAUGGUACUAAAUUAAGAGCUGUUGACUUCCUCAAGGGUGGAGAUACCAUGCAGAGAGAUCUUGACAAACUACGGGGCUGGGCAAUUACCAAGUUUAACAAGAACAAGUGCUGGAACCUGAAGCUUGGAGGGCAAAACUCUAGAUUUCAGGAUUUCAGGAAGUGUUUGGACAACGCUCUGACAUAUGGUUUGGUUUUGGGGUGGUCCUAUGUGGAGCUGGGAGCUAGACUCGAUGAUCCUUGUGGGUUCCUUCCAACGCAGGAUGUUGUGUGAUUCUGUAUUGGCUGCUCUUAGACCUUGACACAGGGGAAGCAGAACGGUUAAAGUGGCUGUUAGCUUCUAUAUAAAAUUCAGUAUGAAUAAGGGUGACUGUACAAAUUCUUUAUAUUAUUAAUUCUUAACUAUAAGCAAAGUGAGAAAACCCUUUUCAGUGUGACCAUAUGAAAAAACAAAUUAAGAAACUCAUCCUGUGAAUGCUGUUGAUUGUAUAGGUUAAAGAGCAGCUACUUAAAAAUAACUGCUAGUGCGCAAAGAAUUGUAACUAUGCCUGCGUUUGUAAGACUGGGCUCCAAACUGGUAAUUCAAGUGCAGUGUAAGAAAAAAUGUAGUAGUGUCACAACAUAAUUAUUACAUAGCUGUAUUAUAAACAUCGUAAAUCAUUACUGAGCAUGCUAAUAUAUCAGUGUUAAUGUAUUGUUAUUUGCUGUACAAUCAGAGUAAAAAAGAUAAAACUAUUUUGUGGAAACCAAUGCCAGCCAAUAAGGAGGGUAACAAAAUAACUUUUAGAAAUUAAGCACUUAUUUCUACUCUAAAUCUUAUGAAAUAAGUUGUGUUCCUUCCCCCACUCCCACUCCCAGAACUGUCAAAGCAGUAUAUGCUUAAAUUAUAGUCAAAGCUCACAGUCUUGUCAGCAUGGGUCCUCAGAGGAUUACAUUCUUUGAGGAAGUCAACCUACGUUGAGUUUAUGUUUCUCUAACUUUCUGAGAAUCUGGAAUUGCCUAAAAGACUCAGCAUUGGAUGAAGAAAACCAAAAGGCCCAUUAAGAAAUGGCAUCAACCAACAUACAAAGAAGGGAUUUUUAUUGGUAUUGUGAACAUUUCAGGCAUUAUGACAGAAUCACAGAAAUUGUCUAGGUUGGAAGAGACCUCAAGAUCAUCGAGUCCAACCUCUGACCUAACACUAACAAGUCCUCCACUAAA